GAUGAACGCUAGCUACAGGCUUAACACAUGCAAGUCGAGGGGCAGCAUUUCAGUUUGCUUGCAAACUGGAGAUGGCGACCGGCGCACGGGUGAGUAACACGUAUCCAACCUGCCGAUAACUCGGGGAUAGCCUUUCGAAAGAAAGAUUAAUACCCGAUGGUAUAAUCAGACCGCAUGGUCUUGUUAUUAAAGAAUUUCGGUUAUCGAUGGGGAUGCGUUCCAUUAGGCAGUUGGUGAGGUAACGGCUCACCAAACCUUCGAUGGAUAGGGGUUCUGAGAGGAAGGUCCCCCACAUUGGAACUGAGACACGGUCCAAACUCCUACGGGAGGCAGCAGUGAGGAAUAUUGGUCAAUGGGCGCAGGCCUGAACCAACCAAGUAGCGUGAAGGAUGACUGCCCUAUGGGUUGUAAACUUCUUUUAUAUGGGAAUAAAGUUUUCCACGUGUGGAAUUUUGUAUGUACCAUAUGAAUAAGGAUCGGCUAACUCCGUGCCAGCAGCCGCGGUAAUACGGAGGAUCCGAGCGUUAUCCGGAUUUAUUGGGUUUAAAGGGAGCGUAGGUGGACAGUUAAGUCAGUUGUGAAAGUUUGCGGCUCAACCGUAAAAUUGCAGUUGAUACUGGCUGUCUUGAGUACAGUAGAGGUGGGCGGAAUUCGUGGUGUAGCGGUGAAAUGCUUAGAUAUCACGAAGAACUCCGAUUGCGAAGGCAGCUCACUGGACUGCAACUGACACUGAUGCUCGAAAGUGUGGGUAUCAAACAGGAUUAGAUACCCUGGUAGUCCACACAGUAAACGAUGAAUACUCGCUGUUUGCGAUAUACAGUAAGCGGCCAAGCGAAAGCAUUAAGUAUUCCACCUGGGGGAGUACGCCGGCAACGGUGAAACUCAAAGGAAUUGACGGGGGCCCGCACAAGCGGAGGAACAUGUGGUUUAAUUCGAUGAUACGCGAGGAACCUUACCCGGGCUUAAAUUGCAUUUGAAUAUAUUGGAAACAGUAUAGCCGUAAGGCAAAUGUGAAGGUGCUGCAUGGUUGUCGUCAGCUCGUGCCGUGAGGUGUCGGCUUAAGUGCCAUAACGAGCGCAACCCUUAUCUUUAGUUACUAACAGGUCAUGUUGAGGACUCUAGAGAGACAGCCGUCGUAAGAUGUGAGGAAGGUGGCGAUGACGUCAAAUCAGCACGGCCCUUACGUCCGGGGCUACACACGUGUUACAAUGGGGGGUACAGAAGGCAGCUACCUGGUGACAGGAUGCUAAUCCCAAAAGCCUCUCUCAGUUCGGAUCGAAGUCUGCAACCCGACUUCGUGAAGCUGGAUUCGCUAGUAAUCGCGCAUCAGCCACGGCGCGGUGAAUACGUUCCCGGGCCU
rnacentral:rRNA from 1 species